rnacentral:rRNA from 1 species
AUACGUAGGGCGCAAGCGUUGUCCGGAAUUACUGGGCGUAAAGGGCGUGUAGGCGGCCGAUCAAGUCAGGUGUGAAAUUUCAGGGCUCAACCCUGAGCGUGCACUUGAAACUGGUUGGCUUGAGUGCAGAAGAGGAAAGUGGAAUUCCCAGUGUAGCGGUGAAAUGCGUAGAUAUUAGGAGGAACACCAGUGGCGAAGGCGGCCUGCUGGACGACAACUGACGCUGAGGCGCGAAAGCGUGGGGAGCAAACAGGAUUAGAUACCCUGGUAGUCCACGCUGUAAACGAUGAAUACUAGGUGUGGGGGGACUGACCCCCUCCGUGCCGCAGUUAACACAAUAAGUAUUCCACCUGGGGAGUACGAUCGCAAGAUUGAAACUCAAAGGAAUUGACGGGG